AUUGAACGCUGGCGGCAGGCCUAACACAUGCAAGUCGAGCGGAUGAGGAAAGCUUGCUUUUCGAUUCAGCGGCGGACGGGUGAGUAAUGCCAAGGAAUCUGCCUGUUAGUGGGGGAUAACUCGGGGAAGCUCGGGCUAAUACCGCAUACGUCCUACGGGAGAAAGUGGGGGAUCUUCGUCCCUUACGCUAACAGAUGAGCCUAGGUCGGAUUAGCUAGUAGGCGGGGUAAUGGCUCACCUAGGCGACGAUCCGUAACUGGUCUGAGAGGAUGAUCAGUCACACUGGAACUGAGACACGGUCCAGACUCCUACGGGAGGCAGCAGUGGGGAAUAUUGGACAAUGGGCGAAAGCCUGAUCCAGCCAUGCCGCGUGUGUGAAGAAGGUCUUCGGAUUGUAAAGCACUUUAAGUUGGGAGGAAGGGUAUUCACCUAAUACGUGGGUACUUUGACGUUACCAACAGAAUAAGCACCGGCUAACUCUGUGCCAGCCGCCGCGGUAAGAC
rnacentral:rRNA from 1 species